GUACUUUUUAGUUACAUUAAAAAGGUCUCUUUAGAGUAUCUUUAAAUUUUAUCUUUAAAAAAAUUUUGGUUAUUUUCACAGAAAUGAAAUUAAAAUUAUUUUAUUUUACCUUUUGCAUAAGUGUUUAACUAUUAAUAUUUUCUUUAAAAUUUCCCGAAUUAGAAAGAUCUAAAAUUAUUUUUUUAUUAGAAAAUAUAUUAUCAUGUGGCAUUAUUAUAUUUUUAGUUAAUUUUAGGAGCGAAAAACUGUCAUUUUCUAGGAUAGCUGGAUUUCCCUUAAAAGUAUUUAGUGCUUUAAAAAAUUAAGAAGUUUUUAGAUUUCUUAAAAGAAGGAUUUUUAGUUGAAAGUAAUUUUUAAGAAAUAAACCUCAAAAAAAAACAUUCACUAACUAUUUAUUAUAACUUUUAUCUUUUUUGUAGGGGGAAAGUUUAUUAAUUUAAAAUAAAUUUUAUAAUGUUAAAAUUAGUAAAAAAACAAAAUUUAAUUAAGGAACUCGGCAAAACAAAUUCUUAUCUGUUUAUCAAAAACAUAGCUUAAAGAAAUCAUUUUAGGUAAAUUCUGCCCAGCGCAUGAUCCGUUAGCGGCCGCAGUACCUUGACUGUGCUAAGGUAGCAUAAUCAAUUGGCUUUUAAUUGAAGUCUGGAAUGAAAGGUCCAAUAAAGAAUUUUCUGUCUCCUUUAAAUUUCAUUGAAUUUAUUUAAUAAGUGAAAAUACUUAGUUAAAGAAAAAAGACGAGAAGACCCUUAGAAUUUUGAAUAACAACUUUUUAUAAUUUUUAUUUUUUUGUUGGGGCGACAUUUAAACACUUAAACUUUAACGUUUUUACUAGACAUUAAGUUUUGCACGAUAAAAUUACCUUAGGGAUAACAGCAUAAUGAUUUAUAUAGCUUGUGACCUCGAUGUUGGACUAGGAACUAGAAGACUAACCGUCAAAAUAGAUUGUUCUGUUCGAACACUAAAUUCCUACAUGAUCUGAGUUCAGACCGGCGUAAGCCAGGUCAGUUUCUAUCUUUUAUUUUUUUGCUUUUAGUACGAAAGGACCAAAGUAAAUUUUUUUUAAUUUGGCAGAUAAAUGCACUUGACUUAGAAUCAACA
rnacentral:rRNA from 1 species